GGGGAGUAUGGUUCCAAAGCUGAAACUUAAAGGAAUUGACUGAAGGGCACCACCAGGAGUGGAGCCUGCGGCUUAAUUUGACUCAAUACGGCAAACCUCACCUGGCCGGGACACGGACAGGACUGACAGAUUGAUAGCUCUUUCUGGAUUCCGUGGGUGGUGGUAUAUGGCCAUUCUUAGUCGGUGGAGCAAUUUGUUUGGUUAGUUACGGUAACGAAUGAGACUCUGGCAUGCUAACUAGUUAUGCUACCCCCGAGCGUCGGUGUCCCUCAACUUCUUAGAGGGACAAGUGGCGUUCAGCCACUCGAGAUUGAGCAAUAACAGGUCUGUGAUGCCCUUAGAUGUCCGGGGCUGCACGCGCGCUACACUGACUGGCUAUGCUGGCAGGCACGGUAACCCACUGAACCCCAUUCGUGAUGGGGAUUGGGAAUUGCAAUUAUUCCCCAUGAAGGAGGAAUUCCCAGUAAGUGCGAGUCAUGAGCUUGUGCUGAUUAAGUCUCUGCCCUUUGUACA
rnacentral:ncRNA from 1 species